AUGCCAGCCGAGUUUGGCUCUCUGUGGCACGUCACAGGCAUGGCUGAUGCCUGGAGAAUGAGCUUCUACCCCAGCUCAGAAGCCUUCUUUGCAUUAUGUAUGGGGCUGUUUCUGUUGGUGUUUGCCUAUUACUUCCUGAUGCCCAGGGCGAAGCCGCAGGAAAGGAGGCUGAGAAGACGCCGUUACAGAAAAAACCAGGAGAAUCGCAGAGUUCGGGAUGCCCAUGACUCUUCACAGCCCUCAAAGAAACUAUGUCCCAAACACCCGGAGCUGGAUGGUGUGCCUAGACUAACCCAACAGUUCAACACGAUCCUUGAGGACCUCAACAGAUACAUUGAAAUGUACAGCUUCGAGAUUACUGAGUGCACUGAUGACUCCCUCAAUCCCAUCAGUACAACGGAAACCAGCUCCUCUUCAGGGAUGUCUCUGUCCACUGGGAGAAGGAACUCCUGCACUUCUGUCGUCAAAAUGAAAGCCCAUCGCUCUUCGAAGACCUCUCCACCAUCUUGUAGCAAUGUAUCCAUCACUUCUGUUUUGGACAUGGAUCCCUGCUGCUCUUCAAGGGCCUCCUUUUCCACUUGGAGUGACAACUCCCUUGCUGCCGUUGUGGCAACAAACGCCAGUUGCUCUUCAAAGGCCCCACUGAUCCCAUACAAGGACGACUCCCACACUUACACCAGGAUGAUUGAAGGUGCUUCACAGCUGUCACUCACAACUCUUCUGAAUGGAGCAGACAUGGUUCAAGCUUCCACAGUCCAGCCUUGUCUGCUUCCCAGUACUGUCCCAGAGGAGCAGCAUGACAUGGGCACACAUCCACCCUGCACAAAAGAGAAGGCCAGCUGCCACAGGGCCUACAGAGUGAAGCAGCAACAGAAAGAACUCCAGGACCAGCAGGGUGCUCCCACCCCAC
rnacentral:lncRNA from 1 species